GGCCUCGUGGCGCAAUAGGAGCGCGUCCGACUCCAGAUCGGAAGGUUGUCCGUGCAAGUCGGGCCGGGGUCA